GUUUCUGUAGUGUAGUGGUUCUUCAGUUCGCCUCACACGCGAAAGGUCCCUGUUCGAAACCGGGCAGAAACA